UGCAGUCGAGCGGAUGAAGAGAGCUUGCUCUCUGAUUCAGCGGCGGACGGGUGAGUAAUGCCUAGGAAUCUGCCUGGUAGUGGGGGACAACGUUUCGAAAGGAACGCUAAUACCGCAUACGUCCUACGGGAGAAAGCAGGGGACCUUCGGGCCUUGCGCUAUCAGAUGAGCCUAGGUCGGAUUAGCUAGUUGGUGAGGUAAUGGCUCACCAAGGCGACGAUCCGUAACUGGUCUGAGAGGAUGAUCAGUCACACUGGAACUGAGACACGGUCCAGACUCCUACGGGAGGCAGCAGUGGGGAAUAUUGGACAAUGGGCGAAAGCCUGAUCCAGCCAUGCCGCGUGUGUGAAGAAGGUCUUCGGAUUGUAAAGCACUUUAAGUUGGGAGGAAGGGCAUUAACCUAAUACGUUAGUGUUUUGACGUUACCGACAGAAUAAGCACCGGCUAACUCUGUGCCAGCAGCCGCGGUAAUACAGAGGGUGCAAGCGUUAAUCGGAAUUACUGGGCGUAAAGCGCGCGUAGGUGGUUUGUUAAGUUGGAUGUGAAAGCCCCGGGCUCAACCUGGGAACUGCAUUCAAAACUGACAAGCUAGAGUAUGGUAGAGGGUGGUGGAAUUUCCUGUGUAGCGGUGAAAUGCGUAGAUAUAGGAA
rnacentral:rRNA from 1 species